rnacentral:tRNA from 4 species
GCACCCGUAGCUCAAUUGGAUAGAGUACCUGACUACGAAUCAGGCGGUUGGAGGUUCGAAUCCCCCCGGGUGUA